GGAGGUUCUAAAUUUACAAAUCAGUUCUGUUCCAAAAGUGCAUUUCAAAGUCAGUUGUCUAGAACUUGGAAAAUAUUUUCUUAUAGAAACAGAGGUGCCGAUGGUGGCUAGCUUCGCAGACCAGCCUACCAAGGCCCAUUUAAUCCACAGCGUACUGGAAUUAUGGAACUAAUGGUUCUCUAUCAGCUUUGCUUUACUAACAGGACUGCAUAACGGGUGUCUUUAGUACUGACAAGAUGGUAACCUCACCUGCGGGGAAUUCAACUGCCUGCCAGCCCUACCCUUGGGAAACACAGGAACUGGAAAGUGAGCAAAAGUGGCCUUUGCACACGGAGAAGAGGUAUCUCCAAUUUUUCUUGAUCUCAAUACAGCGUAAACUUCACGAAGGAAGGGGCCUUCUUUUUUGUUUUUUGUUUCUUGCUGUAUCCCCAGCACAUAGUGGCACGUAGUAGGUGCUUGAUAAAUAGUUCUUACGUGGACCAAAGUGUGAACCUCUGCUGGCUUUGUCAAGGAAGGGACCCUCUGGCUUAGAAUGUAGUUACAAUUAUGUAGCAUGUAGUUCUAGCAGGUCUGCUUGUUUUGUUUCCAGGCCUGUUGUAUUUAGAAAUAACGCAUUAAGGCUGAGGUAGAC
rnacentral:lncRNA from 1 species